UCCCGCCGCGCGCGGCGGGUGUGGCGGGGGCACGGGGAGACGGGGUGCAGCAGGCGCGAAAACUCCGCAAUACACGAAAGUGUGACGGGGCCAUCCCUAGUGCCAUCCGCUGAGGAUGGCUUUUCCCCAGUGUAUAAAGCUGGGGGAAUAAGGAGAGGGCAAGCCUGGUGUCAGCCGCCGCGGUAAUACCAGCUCUCCGAGUGGUGGGGAUGAUUAUUGGGCCUAAAGCAUUCGUAGCCUGCUUGGCAAGUCCUCCGUUAAAUCCAACGAUUCAAUCGUUGGGCUGCGGGGGAUACUGUCCGGCUAGGGGGCGGGAGAGGCCGACGGUAUCCUCGGGGUAGGGGUGAAAUCCUAUAAUCCCGGGAGGACCACCAGUGGCGAAGGCUGUCGGCUAGAACGCGCUCGACGGUGAGGGAUGAAAGCUGGGGGAGCGAACCGGAUUAGAUACCCGGGUAGUCCCAGCUGUAAACGAUGCAGGCUAGGUGUUGGCGCGGCUACGUGCCGCUCCAGUGCCGCAGGGAAGCCGUUAAGCCUGCCGCCUGGGAAGUACGGCCGCAAGGCUGAAACUUAAAGGAAUUGGCGGGGGAGCACCACAAGGUGUGAAGCUUGCGGUUUAAUUGGAGUCAACGCCGGAAAUCUCACCGGGGGCGACAGCAGAAUGAAGGUCAGAUUGAAGGUCUUACCAGACAAGCUGAGAGGAGGUGCAUGGCCGUCGCCAGUUCGUGCCGUGAGGUGUCCUGUUAAGUCAGGCAACGAUCGAGACCCGCGUCCCCUGUUGCCACCGGCCUUGAGCCGAGCACACUGGGGAGACUGCCGCCGAUAAGGCGGAGGAAGGAGCGGGCCACGGCAGGUCAGUAUGCCCCGAAUCCCCCGGGCUACACGCGAGCUGCAAUGGCAGGUACAGAGGGUCCCAACUCUGAAAAGAGAAGGAAAUCCCUAAAGCCUGCCGUAGUUGGGAUCGAGGGUUGAAACUCACCCUCGUGAACAUGGAAUACCUAGUAACCGCGUGUCACUACCGCGCGGUGAAUACGUCCCUGCUCCUUGCACGAAUUCGCCGA
rnacentral:rRNA from 1 species